CUAAGAAUCUUCCGCAAUGGGCGCAAGCCUGACGGAGCGACGCCGCGUGGGCGAAGAAGGCCGAGAGGUUGUAAAGCCCUUUUUUCAUAGAAGAAUAAGCCUAAGAGGUAAUGCUUGGGUGAUGACGUUAUAUGAGGAAUAAGCUCCGGCCAAUUACGUGCCAGCAGCCGCGGUAACACGUAAGGAGCGAGCGUUGUUCGGAAUUAUUGGGCGUAAAGGGCUCGUAGGCGGCCUGCCAAGUCCCACGUGAAAGACCAGGGCUCAACCCUGGGGGCGCGAGGGAAACUGGUAAGCUGGAAUCUUGGAGGGGGUACUGGAAUUCCUGGUGUAGGGGUGAAAUCUGUUGAUAUCAGGAAGAACACCGGAGGCGAAGGCGAGUACCUGGCCAAAGAUUGACGCUGAUGAGCGAAAGCGUAGGGAGCGAACAGGAUUAGAUACCCCCGUAGUCC
rnacentral:rRNA from 1 species